AACGCACAUUGCGCCCGUUAGUAUUCUGGCGGGCAUGCCUGUUCGAGCGUCCUUUUGGACCCUCGGGCCCGGGUUGACGACAGUCUCCCCAGGCCCGGUGUUGGGGUGUCGCGGCCGCCGCGCCCCCCUAAAACCAGUGGCGGACCCCUCCGUGGCCCGGGCGUAGUAAUAUUACGUUGCCUUCGGUCGCGCUGCGGGCCUUGCCCCCAGUACCAUCUACACAAAGUUGGACCUCGAAUCAGGUAGGAAUACCCGCUGAACUUAA
rnacentral:misc_RNA from 1 species